GGCCAGCCCGCAUAGCUCAAUCGGUUAGAGCGCGAGACUUGUAAUCUCGACAUUGUGGGUUCGAUUCCCGGGCUGGCCA